rnacentral:rRNA from 1 species
AGUGAACGCUGGCGGUAGGCCUAACACAUGCAAGUCGAACGGCAGCACAGUAAGAGCUUGCUCUUACAGGUGGCGAGUGGCGGACGGGUGAGGAAUACAUCGGUAUCUACUUUUUCGUGGGGGAUAACGUAGGGAAACUUACGCUAAUACCGCAUACGACCUACGGGUGAAAGCAGGGGAUCUUCGGACCUUGCGCGAUUGAAUGAGCCGAUGUCGGAUUAGCUAGUUGGCGGGGUAAAGGCCCACCAAGGCGACGAUCCGUAGCUGGUCUGAGAGGAUGAUCAGCCACACUGGAACUGAGACACGGUCCAGACUCCUACGGGAGGCAGCAGUGGGGAAUAUUGGACAAUGGGCGCAAGCCUGAUCCAGCCAUACCGCGUGGGUGAAGAAGGCCUUCGGGUUGUAAAGCCCUUUUGUUGGGAAAGAAAAGCAGCAGGUUAAUACCCCGCUGUUCUGACGGUACCCAAAGAAUAAGCACCGGCUAACUUCGUG